GACAAACGCUGGCGGCGUGCUUAACACAUGCAAGUCAAGGAGAAUGGGAAUCUUCGGAAUCCCUAGUAAACUGGCGAAUGGGUGAGUAACGCGUAGGCAAUCUGCCCUGAAGUGGGGAAUAACUCCGCGAAAGCGGGGCUAAUACCGCAUAACAUUCCGAUAUCGCAUGGUAUUGGAAUCAAAGAUUUAUCGCUUCAGGAUGAGCCUGCGUCCUAUCAGCUUGUUGGUGGGGUAACGGCCUACCAAGGCUACGAUGGGUAGCUGGUCUGAGAGGAUGAUCAGCCACACUGGCACUGAGACACGGGCCAGACUCCUACGGGUGGCUG
rnacentral:rRNA from 1 species